rnacentral:misc_RNA from 1 species
GACCUCUUGAGGAAUGGGGAA